rnacentral:rRNA from 1 species
AGAGUUUGAUUAUGGCUCAGAACGAACGCUGGCGGCAUGGAUAGGCAUGCAAGUCGAACGAGGUAGCAAUACCGAGUGGCGGAAGGGUGAGGAACGCGUGAGCAACUUGCCCCCAAGUUAGGAAUAACAGUUGGAAACGACUGCUAAUACCAAAUGUGACUGCAAGAUCGCAUGAUUUUGCGGUUAAAGAUUUAUUGCUUGGGGAUAGGCUCGCGUCCCAUUAGCUAGUUGGUGAGGUAACGGCUCACCAAGGCAACGAUGGGUAGCUGGUCUGAGAGGAUGGUCAGCCACACUGGGACUGAGACACUGCCCAGACUCCUACGGGAGGCUGCAGUCGAGAAUCUUGGGCAAUGCGCGAAAAAGCGUGACCCAGCAAUGCCGCGUGUAUGAUGAAGGCCUUUGGGUCGUAAAAUACUGUCGCCCGGGACGAUAAAUGACGGUACCGGGAGAGGAAGCCACGGCUAACUACGUGCCAGCCGCCGC